CAAGGAAUAGUUUAAAUAAAAUUUUAAUUUUGGAGAUUAAAGAAGUAAAGUAAUUUUCUUCCUUGA
rnacentral:tRNA from 1 species